CAGAUCUGUGUAAAAAAAUUACACAGAUUGUAGAACAUGUUCUAGCUGUCAAAACUGUGUAGUUUUAUAACACAGAUCUGUGUAAAAAGUUACACAGAUUUCCGAUCAGCUUUCCUUUCAAAUCUGGGUAAAAAAGGAAAAGCUAAGAUGGCGUCGCUCUUGCAGCAAAUUUUUACUUAUCAACAAACUGAUCAUCAUAUGCACCGUAAACCCAUGGGGCGCAGUGGUCGUAUUUGGAUUCAAGUUGUCUCACACACACUGA